GGCAUAGGGUCUCCCCUCUAUAACCCUCUGCAUCGUCUUCUUCUUCCUCACUUCUUCUUCUCUAGCCUACCCAGCCACUUACAGCAGAAAGAAACCCACGAAAACCCUCGCCAACCACCUCUAAAAACCCACAUAUCUCUCUCAUUUCUUCACCAUUUCACCUCAUUUUUGUCUUAAAAGUUUCUAUUUUCAAUAUCUAAUCCCAUACACUAAAAAAGUUUUGUUUUUUCACCCAUUUACACUGUACCCGAACCUAUUUUAAAAAAAGGUGGUGGUUUAACUCCGACCACCGCUUUUAGCGGAGAAAUCGUUCAAUCUCAACGUUCAUUAAGGUGGCCGGAUUUUUGGUCGCAAUUUGUCGCCGGAUUGCGUUUAUAAGAUAUGGCCAACUCGAGUUCUGGAUCUGAUUCAGACCCAGAGGCAGAGUGUCCAACCACAAUACCUACACGAGGGCCGACGCAAAUGAAUGAAAUAUCCAAACUAAUGGAUCAGGGCAAAAGAGUGGCCCUCGAAGUUAAUGAUAAAGGUCAAUACUGUGGAAAAAGCUAUGCGAAGCUCGUAUCCACUCUAGGAGUCAGAUGUCGGCAGACAAUAGGGUUGGCUUAUAAAAACUGGAAAGAAGUCAAACCGACUCUGAAAAAUAAAGUUUGGAAAGACCUUGAGACGGGGUUCAUUGUGCCGGACACCUUCAAACAUGAUUGUCUCAUCCUAGCUGGGAAGUUAAUGAAAGACUUCAAGAAUAGGAUGACAAAAGACAUCAUAAUGCCCGUGUUGAAAGAGAAUGAUCUGGGACGACUGGCACAAGUCCCUGAAAAGCACCCCGAGAUCGACGCUGCUGAUUGGUGCAAAUUUGUUGAAAGUCGACUAACUCCUGAAUUUCUGGAAUUGAGUAAGGUGCAACGUGAACGUUCCUCAAAAAUUCAAUCCAGACAUCGAAGUGGUCGGAGUGGAAUGGUGAACGUACGGGAAGUUGUGAAAAAGGACCUCGAAGUUGCAGAUCCCCCCCGCCACCGUGUUUGGAUUAAAUCUCGCACCAAGAGUAGAAAACUUGUCACUAAUUACGACAAGGAAAUUGCAGAGAAGAUAGCUCAAUUAGAAGAGAAGCUUAGUCAGGGACAAAUUCAGGUCCAGGGCCAAAACGAUAUCCUGACGCAGGCGCUCGGGACACCAGAGCAUCCUGAACGUGUCAGGGCUGCUGGGUUCUUGACCAGGGCAUCUCAACUGUUCGGCAGGAAGAAAAGGGAAGUGUCUGAUGUUGUGGCUCGGCAAGCGAAGGAGAUUGAAAAAUUAAAAGCCGAAGUCCAAUCCCUUAAGCAGCAGAGGAACGCUGCCGAACAAGAGGAAGAAGGAGAGGUGGCUGGUGAGGCGUAUGUUCCACAACCAUACGCUCCUCAGGAUGAGGUACAACCACAAAUUUAUGUUGAGGAGUUUAUUUCCCUCAACGACCAAGGUAUCCUAUACAAUUUUGAUGACCAUGCGGCCCUUAAUCAGCAAGUACAUCUCUGCUCUGACAACAUCGACAAUAUUGUGGCCCGAGGGUAUUUGUACGAGCAUGUGGGUACGAUCAAAGUUCACUUCCAGGAUUACGAUGAUUCACAUGCCCGGAUCAUGGUUUCGGAAAUCCUGCAAGAGGACACUGAAAUCCCAGUCCCAAUUGAAGAGUGCAGAUAUGUUAGGGACGUAUGCCAGAUGUUCCUUCCUUGGCUUAAACACUUAAUUUUAACAACCGAGGCACAUAUGGGAGAGCAUCAACGGUCUGAGAAAAAUUUUCAAGUUUUACGACCCAGAGCUUCUCACAGUGCAUGGGAUCAACGAUGAAGAACAGAGUUAGUCUUUUGACGAUGCGGCAAGACGAUUGGCUAAUUGGUUAUCAUUAAUGAACAACAACCACCAAAUGUUCUUUAUUUCUUGGAAUAUCGGGAUGCAUUGGAUGCUAGUGGUGGUUGCGCCAAGGAAAAUUAUCCAUUUAAACCCUGUAAAAGGCUGCCCAAUUCCCGAAGUAAUUAAACAAAUGAUCGGAAGGGCAUUCAUGUAUAUAGGGAACGCACAUGAGUAUCUUGGCCAGUGGCAAGGAAUUAACCAAGCAAACUGUCCAAGACAACCUAAAAGCCAAGAAUGCGGAUUUUAUGUUUUGAAAUAUAUCACUGACAUCGUCGCACGUGCCAACCCCAGCCGUUACAUACAAGAUCAAAAAGCUUUUGGGGGUAAGAAGCAAUACGAUCCAAAAACAGAAUUGUUACCACUACAGCGAAAGUGGAUCGAGCAAUUGAUGGCGGUGAUUCACGGUGACGAUUGAGGUUGAAAGGUCGAAGAAUUUUUCUUCAUUAUGUAAUUUUUAUAGAUUAACUUGUAGUUGGAUUUAUUAACUUUAAUAUUUUUAACUAAUUUUACAUUAGUGUUUGUGUAAUAUUUAAUUAUUUUUAUGAAAUUAAAUUAUGUCUUUUACCCAAAUUUAAAUAA